UACGUAGGGUGCGAGCGUUGUCCGGAAUUACUGGGCGUAAAGAGCUCGUAGGCGGUCUGUCACGUCGGCUGUGAAAUCCCGAGGCUCAACCUCGGGUCUGCAGUCGAUACGGGCAAACUAGAGUAUUGCAGGGGAGACUGGAAUUCCUGGUGUAGCGGUGAAAUGCGCAGAUAUCAGGAGGAACACCGGUGGCGAAGGCGGGUCUCUGGGCAAUAACUGACGCUGAGGAGCGAAAAGCGUGGGGGAGCGAAACAGGG
rnacentral:rRNA from 1 species